rnacentral:lncRNA from 1 species
UUAAUUUUCCCAGCUAACCCCUAAUCAUCUUCUUCUUGUCCAUUCUCAACCAAACGAGUUGAACCAAGAAAUGACCAGCAGUUCUCCAUCAAUGAAGAACCCACAAAUCCGCACCUUUUGUUCCUUUUAUUUGGAGGAUAAUCCCUGAAAUCACUGCCAUAGUCAUCCAUUUCCAUCGCUUUCAACUUUACGUCGCUUCACAUCCCUUUUUCAUUGAAGUCUGAAAGCUACAUCGAGCUGGAAUCCUCUCCUGAAAAGCUUCUAAAAAGGGAGGGAUAUGGGUGUUCAAUUGUUUCUGAAGAAUUUUUACAUUGAUUCAGCAGUCAAAGAGCUUAUCCUUCUUGAAGAACUCAAGCCGUCAAUAUCAAAUUGCCAACCAAGUCUCAAUCUUUCAAAUCCCAUCUCAGAAAAUGAUUUUCCUUCAUCAAAAUGUCACUUCUUUAAUUCAAAUUUGAAUUCUCAAGGCUUUCUCCAAGAAGCCGUUUUAAUUUUCCGUAUAAAAGGGGGUUCUUUUUCACCUCUCGAAAGAUGGUUCAAAGGUUAAAAAUUGAGGAAUUUUGAGUCCCUUACUGAUUUCACUCCUAAGUUUUCUUACUCUAUUUUAAUUUCUAGUCACCGUUCCUCCCGUCUCGUCGCUUUUCAUAGCUCUUACUCGAGGUUGGUGAGAAAAUCAUUCAUCGACUCGUGGUUUGGAUUCACUGUCCGAAACAAGUUCGAGUUGAAUCUCCGACGAAAAUCCCUAGUUCGCUGCCCCACACAAGGUAAAUUCUAUCCCGUCUAAUUAUAUUAUAGUUAGUUUUGCUAUUUUUUCUCUCGUUUGGGUUUGGUCGAUUGGUUGUGGAUAUGAAUAUUAAGUAAAGUGAUAUGUGGAUGCUUGAGUUUGUUCACGUUAAGCAGCGUGUUUGCAAAGUGUUAAUAAGUUGUAAUCUAGCUUGAGUAAAACUUAUGAAAUUUGAGUUUUUUUUUUCGAAUCAGGUGUUUUGUUUCAUUCUCUAGAACGCGAACUGGAACAGUUUCUUUUGCAUUGUUCGACCUCACAUAUAUUUGGUAGUGCGCUUUUAGACUCUUCGCGAUCUUGAACCAGCCCGGAACAAACACCCCAAAGCUGUGUGUUCGUCUGAAUCAUAUCCUGCGGACUGUUCGAGGUCGUUUUGUUGUUAGUUUGGUCUUCACUUUUAUGUGGUAAUGGUGUACUGUGUAGGCGUAUAGAUUGAACUAUAUCUCGCCCAUAUAUAUAUUUAGAUAGAUGAAUAUCCGACCUCUGUUUCAACCGUGUAAAAAAUGAAUAUAGAGUAUGGACUUUUCCAGUUGGUGAUGGAUUUCUUUGGAUUAGUAUAUUAUUUUGGGUUUAUUUCAAUGUUGUCUGCUUCAACGUCACAAUAGUGACUUAGAUGUGUUCCUGUUUAGCUCGUGUGUGCAUCAGGUCCUAGUAGCCUUGUUUUUGUCUGAAAAAUGUUUUUGAAUAGCUUUAAACUUACAUAUUUUUGGUUGUACAACAUGGAAUCCUUGAAACUUUCAUUUGAAAGCUGAAUACGACAUCGUGUUGGUAUUGUUUUAGGAUAGCCAUUCACUUUUUUUUACCUGCUAACUUAGAGUGUAAAGGGGCUUUACAUGUUUUAGAUUUUUGAAAUACGAUUCCUUAGUUUCUUAUAGAUCAUUGUGUUGUUGUUUUUUGUUUCAUAACAUAGACAUGAAACCAGUAACUUGACUCCUAGUUAUUUAAACAAGCAUGCAAGCUCACUGUUAAGCUAGAGUUAAAUUCAUUUUAGUCGCUUCUUACAUGGUCAAGUGUUGUAGAUACCUAUAUAUGUGUAGCCUAAGUAACUAGUAUAAAGAAUGACAUCAAUUUGGGGGUCUAAGUAGGGGCGAUCAGAUCAUAGCUAUUUAACUCUUGAAGAUUAUAUAUGGUUGAUUAAGGGCUGGCAUAUACUAAUCAUCUAGCUAAGUUAGUUGAGUUGGUUAACAAUUUUAGUACUAGCUCAUGUGUGUGACUAUUCUCUUUUGCCGUGGAAACUUUUUUUUUGUUUUAAGGUAUGUUUUAAACUAUUGAAAGGUGCAUUUACACAAGGAUCAGCUUAAAACUUGUCUCUCAUUUGAUUGUUACUGCUGAAAUUGAAAGGUUAGUUGGAAUCAGUAGUUAUCCCGGUUGUGAAAUAAGAUGAUAUUUCCCUUGUCUUGACGACCUCCUUUUUCAAAAAAAACAUAUCUUUUCAACAGUUAUAUGAGUUACUUCAUAGAUCCCAGGCCCGGGUCUUUUUAAUCUACAAAUGACAGGCAUUGACAUGAUAAGUUUAUUUUUGCAUAACUGUGGUUGUAAAGAUUCACUAUUCAUACUUCAAAUCUUCUUUCUCUCAAAUUUUUCUCAAACUUAAGUUGGAGAGCCUAUGUAUAUUACUGCACUCUUUAAAAAUGGCAAGAAAGGCUUGCCUUGUGGUCGAACCGUAAACUAGAAUUUGAGUAGUGAUCUCUCCCGAUAUGUUUGGUUUUAUUAGCAUAUGUACUUUCGAAUGACUACAUCAAAUAGAUAAUAAUUUCCUGUUACUAAGGCAUGGCUCUUUUCUUUGUUCCCUCUUCAUUAACAUGAUAGGUGCAACUACGUGCUUUAACAAUAGUAUUUUUAGCUUACAUAUUUCCCUGGUUUUCUCAUAUAUAGUAUUAUAUAUUUAUUUGUAUUAACGACCAGAAUAUAGGAGAACUUCUAUUUGAGCAGUGCGUGAGUAUAAACAUCAAUAUAUAAAAAGAAGGGCUGCACGGUCUCUUCACAGUUAAUAGAUGUCUAUCAUGAGUUUUCUCUCAUUACUCUAUUCCUGUGUUUUAAGACUUCAGGUCCUUUUUCUCCUUUAAACUUUGCAAAAUAUUGUUGUAUUGUCUAUGUGUUUCUCCCAAAAUGUUACUGGACAAUUUAUUUAGCUCUGGAAGUCUUAAGUUCUUUUUUUUUUUACAAAAAUGUGGAACUUUUGUCAUAUCCCUGUGCUGAAAAAUGGCAUUAAGAAUAGUUGGCCAAACUUGUUGAAAACAGUAGUUGUCAUUUUUUGAUGUUAUUGUGCAAUGCACUACUUGAAUUUAAAAAUGAAUAAAUAAAUAGCUUUAUAUUCAAUUUCUUUCCAUUUUUGUAUACGGUUCAAUAAAUGAAAGUGAGUUUUGGUUUUUGUUAUUGAAGUAUUGUGUUAAGUUGUUAACGAUGACAUGAUUCUUGAUACAAAGACACGGAGGUUGAGGAUUAGGCUAGAAGGUUAGUAAGGAAACUCGGAACAAUAUUUUUGUUUGUCUAUUAAAAGUCAUGUUGUAAGUUUUCAUGUGCUUUAGCGGUUAUGUUCAGUUGUUCAUUAAUUUUUUGUUUUGAUUCCAAUUCAUCGUCCAUGUAAAAGUAUUUUGUUUUAGUAAGCCUCCUAUGUUGAGACAUCUCAUUGAAGCUCUAUUCUAAAAUUCUUUCUAUGUAAUUUAGAUAUGAAGAUCUUAGAAAUAAUUUGCUGAAUAAGUUAGAGAUUUACUAUGAAUUUGUUUAGUCUUGAAUAUAUGAUAUACUGGUACUGGAAACUCUUAGAUUAGGAUAAGAUGGGGUUUCUCAAAUGUGCAAGUUAACUAGAUAUCUUAAUUUCGUAAGACUUAAUGUCAUUUGAUUAUUUUUAUUUUCUUUGAAUUCAUGUUCCAUGUGCUUAUUUGGUAGGGAUACAAUAGACCUAUUUUUGUUAUCAAGGACAGAAGGAAAGAACCCCUUUAAGCAUGGUAAAAAUCACGAUUUGAGAUUUUGUGCCAUAAAAAGGAGGAAAAAAGUAAGUUGUGUGAUUUGCUUUAAUUGUUUAAAGUUGUGUGAUUUGCUUUAAUUGUUUUUCAUUUGAAGGAUGUGCUCUUAUGCAUCUUGAUGUUGUCUUUUUCAUGAGGUCAUGAAUUAAUUUUAAAUUCAUGGGUGGUUUUGUUCCUCUUAGAAUAAUUUCCCUUGAUAAAGGAUAACCUGAAUGUAUUACAGUAUGUCAUUAGUGUAAAUUAGCAUAACACAUCAUAUUUGACUAAGUUCUUUCAUGAGCACGAUUCUACCUUCGUUUCGUUUUUGCAACUCACCAUUAAAAUAAAUGUUUGUCUAAUCUUGAUCUCCUUUUCCUUUCUUAUUUCACAUUUACAUUCGGGAGCGCAUUUGGAGUCUUAUGGCUUGACUCCAUCUCUGUCCAAAUUAGAGAAGCGAAUAAAUAUCAAAUCACAUAUUUUCAUCUAGCAGUCUAGUGUCUCUUUCUCAGCUUUAUUUUAUCUUUUGUACACGAGUAUUAUUAUUUUUGCUUAAUAUUUUGCGGAUUAUUAUUUAAAGUUUGUGUUUUAUAUGCUCUUAUUUGAAUUGGUGUGAUUCCUUAAGUUUUAGCAAACCUAUUUAUUUCCUUUCUACCUCUUAGAUUUUAAACUUAGCAUAAUCACUAGGCUUUGAUAUUUAGUUUAUGUCAUUAAAGGUUAAAACUUGAUAGGCGAUAGCAUAUUUUUUAGAAUAAGUGGUCUUAUCUUUAAAAUUUAACUUAGUUUCUCAUUAGUUGCUAAUGUCAAAUUAAUAAAAAAUAUAGGUUUUUGCGGUAUGCGAACUUAUCAUCACUAGACUCGGAAAUCGGCUUUACUAAUUUUGAAUAUGACAAAUCAAUUUUUUUUUAUUAAUUUUAAAUAAAAGAUGGCACUUCGCGAACCCCUUUUAGGAUUUCUAAUGAAUAAAAAAUAUUUUAUUUAUUUUUAGUCGUGUCGUAAUAGAUAAUAAAUUCUCAAGUCAUUAUGCAUUUAGAUAAUUAUAUAUUUUAUUUAGUCAUUUAGUGUAGGAUAAUUAACCUAUUUUUAUAAAGAUUGAUGAAGAAAAGCAAAAAUGUUUUUUUUUUUUUUUCAAAAAAGAGUGAAGUUCUUGAUAUAAUUAACUUUUUUUAAUUAUUAAUUGAAAGCUUUUGUAAGGAAUUAAUUUAAAAAUAACUUUUUCUUGAUAACAAUAAGGUUGAAUUAUUUUUAAGAGCUAUCUUUGAUAAUUUUUGAUAAGUGGGUAAAUUUUUCUAAAGUUUUUUUUUUUUUAAUCUUUCCUUACAAAUAAUUAGCAUGGUUUAAUAAAAUGUAUAUAUUUUUUGAUACAUUAUUUAUAUCUUUCUUAACAUAGCUUUUGAUUUUUUUGUCUAAUUUAAGUUUGAUCGGUUAACCGUAGUUAGCGGAUUCUUUAGGGUGUCGAAUCCCUUCCCUUUAGGAUAAUUAGAAUCCUUACUUAGAAUUUUAAGUUGCGUAGACUUUAAAAUGAAGUCUUUAUUUAUUUUAAUCACAUAGUUUAUAAUAGGUGUCCUAAUUCACCGUAGAACUAAUUAGGUGGCGAUUUUCUUAAAUUUAAAUCAGAAGUUUUUCAAUAUGUUGUACAUUAAUUUGGCCAAUGUUAAAAUGGGGUAUAACAAUGGUUUAGAUAGGAGAGAGUAAAUAUUUUGUAUUAUGAAAAGAUUGUUGUAUGCUUGUUUUAUUUUAGGCUAUAAGGUUUAAGGAAGAUUGAAGCAAAGCUUUUAGUAUUUGUCAUGGUUAGUUGUAAGAAAAUUUUGUGCGUGUCUUCUUAGGGAAAGUGCAUGAAAGUUGUUAUUGCUAGAAGUAUUAGAGAAUAUGAGAAAGAUGCUUUGGUGGAUUGUUUGCGUAGAAGUUCAUGUGUGGUUAUAAUGAUAGUCUUGAAUGUCAUGUUGGUAUAUAAGUGGAUGAAUGCAUUAUGUUUUAGUGAAUUCCUAGUAAGAGAUUGAAUUUAAUUGUUUUAGUGGUAAGAAGAAUUAUUCUUGAGAUGAGAGUUGUGAAACACGCAUGGGGUAUUGAAUUUGUGGUUUAUACUAGUACUAUGGUGUUAUGUGUUAUACCUUGUAAUUUUAUGCUAGGCUUGAACAUGGUAAGAGCAGGUAGUUCAACUCAAACAUUGGUUGGAGUGGUUAUAUGUGCACAUGUGAAAAUUAUAAGUUGAAUCAAAUGAGCAUAGUAUUUAAGGGGGAAAGUAUAGUUGAGGGAGUAUUUUAGAAGUGUGGCUAAGCUUGAAAGUUAGCUGUUGCAUUGCCUAAGGCUUAGUAAUUCCAUCCUAGCUUAUGUUUCAUAGGCCUAUGUUCCAUGUUAUAGGGUUGUAGCCAUGCUGUGAUUCCUUAUUUAGAUAUCUUAUUCAGACCAUGCCCAAGAUACUUUGCUCCCUAAUGUUAUUAGAACUUCUUAGAAAGAGUGGUGAAGAAAUACUCCAGUUGAGUAUAAGCUUUCAGUAUAAUUCAGUCUGUAUAGCUAGCAAAUCAGAUUAGCAAUCAAACGGAUAAGCUCCUAUGAUUUUUCAUCUUUCCAUCUAGUCUUACUAUCCGAAGUUUCAUGAAUAUGUCUAUUCCAUGAGGUAAUCUAUUCGCAUACAAGUAAGUUGCAAAUUUAGUUCAGUCCAUGCAUUAUGUUUCAGAUUCAGCUAUUUAGUCAUGACUCAGUUCAUAAGUGUUCAGUGUAUGAUCUCAAUUUUCCAAGUAUUCCAGCUCAUACAUUGUGAUACCCCUUGUACGACCUUGAUCUCUUUAUCUCAUGAUUCGUGAUUACAUAAUGUACUUGGCGAUGCCAUGAAGCCCUUUUCUUUUGAUUCCUAUACGUGUUUUGUUAAGGGACAAUUCCUAAUGAGAAACUAUAUACUUAAUUUCAUCCUUAGUAACUCCUGGAAUUUCAUUACAUCAGUUAUCACUUUGCAGUUCUAUAUGUAUGAUUGUAUCAUGAACAUCAUAAGUGAGUUCUAAACUCUCAACAUGAAUCACAUUUUUCUAGUUAAUAGAAUCAAGUCAGCUCAGAAAUCAGUUUCAUAAUAGAAGUUUUUAAUGUUUUAGCUCAGAUACAUACUUCAUUAAGUCUUCAUUAUUCCAUACUUCUAAGACUUCAACAAGUUCCUAUCCAUCAUUUGAGGACAAAUGAUUCCAAAGGGGAGAUAAUGUAAUACCCUACAUUUUUUAGCUAGACAUCGAACCGUCAUUUCUUUGUGUGUAAACUCUAAUCUCAUGAUUUGCUUUUGAAUACAUGUGUCAUGAUCAUUAUCCUAGUGUUAAGAGUGCUUAUGAGGUGAAAAUGUUCAUAGGAAUCACUUAGAGCAAAGUUGAGCGAAGAGCCUUUGAUUCGGUUGAUAUUUGAUUCUAUAAGGAUCAACUUUGAACGUGUAUAACUUUUGACAUAUUUUGAAUUUUGCAACCCAAUAUCCACCAAAUUAUAGAUAAUUGAAUUAUCUUUCCAGUGAUACCAAUUUUCCCUUAAUCUGAUGCCCGGGCAAAAUGUUAUGACCAUUUUUGUGAGAAACAGUAAGCCUCCGCAAUAGGAUCACAUCACGAGGGUUGUUCCUCGGGAAUGGAGGUUGUAUUGCGAGGGCUGUUCCCUGGGAAUAGGGGUCGAGCCAUGAGGGCUAUUCCCUCACUAUUCAAGCUUCUUAAAGGGUCAGGGGCUCCUCAACCCAAUUCAUCCAAAACACGAUCUAGGACACUCAAAAGGGCAUUAUUUGCCCAUUACCCUCAAAAUAUCACACGUAGAAACCCUUCCCCUUCCAAAGAAAGAGAAAUUCAAGCCUCUCUUCCCAAGAAUAAGAAAUUCAAGUUUUCUUCCUCAAGAAUUCACGGAUUUAAGUUCUAAUUACAAGUUUUCCUUCAAGAAUUCAUCCAAUUAAGGUAUGUGGGAUAUUCAUUAAUGGGUCUCUUUCACCCAUUGAGCCCAAAAAUCCUCCCUUUGGUUAAAAUAUAGGUUUUUCCUUCAUUAUGGAAUUUCAUAUGUUCAAGAUGAGUUUAAUUCGUGAUUUUCCUUAGUAAAUUGAAUUCAAUCCAUGUCUACACAUGAUCUAAUGAAAAUUUGGUUAUUUUAUGUUUUGAAUUUCAAUUUCCUAUGUCAUAUUCAAGUGACUUCAUGUUACAAUAUCAAUUUAUGUAUUAAACCAUGUAAAUAUGUUGUCCUCUUAUGUUCAAAUUCAUGCUUCUCACCUAUAUGUUAAAAUGUCUAAUGUUUUUAGGUCUUUGAAUUAUGAUUCCAUACCACUAUUUUAAGAAUUGUUAUCGUAUUUUUUUAAUCAUUCAGUGCUAGCGGGUGAUGAAAACCCAAUACCUAUGUGUCUUUACAUGAUUUUUGUUUACAAGAAAUAAACCAAUCAAACCAUGAUUUUUACUACCAUCUUCAAAAUAUAAUAUUCAUGCUAAGCAUUUAUAAGUACCGUACUAUGUCAUGUUAAACAACUAAUAAUACCAAAGUCUUUCAGUUGCGAGUAACACUUGGCGCCGAGCGAACACAGGGAUGACAACUACCCCGUCAGUAGAGGCAUGAGUCAUUAGUAGCAGUUCCUAAGUUCCAGACCCACGACACCACUAUAGAUUAUGCGGGGUCCCUCGUCAGUAGAGGCAUGACACCUUCGUCCUUCGAGACAUCAUCCUUGUGGAUCCACAUAAGCAUUAAUGUGUUGGUACCCCAGGUAAGGUACCAGUACCCUUCUAACUAAGUUAUAGGUUGGACCUCGAUAACUCAGAUUGGGGCAUGUCAGUUAUAGCUAUCUCCCACAUUCUCAGUAUAGUAUUCAGAGUGUGUCAGUUCAGGUUUGCAUGACCGAGUAUUCAGACAUCAAUUAUUCAGUUAUUCAAAUCAUGUCGGUACAUGUUUAUGCUUGGUCUUGCAUUUUCAGUUUUACAUGUUCAUGUUUUUCAUGUUCAGUAUCCAUACAUGAUCUUCAGUUUAAUUUUACAGCAUGUUCAGCUAUACAUGAGAUGUACAUACAAUAUUCAUGUUUUACUGCUUUUCAGUUUCAGUUCUACUUAUUCUAUAAAAGUAAAGAUUUAAGAAACUAAGUGUAGUGAUUCACCAACUUAUUAGAUUAUGUUUGUUACUCAUGUUUUAAGAUACUUCAACUAUUCAAUUGGUUUCAAUCUCUUGAUGAAUCUACUUGCACUUAGCAUACAUGUUUUAAGAUUUUGUAUCUAUUCAGUUUUACUUAUUGCAUUCACCCCCACUUACUCAGUACAUUCUAAAAGUACUGACCACAUAUACAUCUGUGUGGCUACAUUAUUUCAUAAUGUAGGUAUCAGGAGUAGUCAAUACAUCAUUAUUUUACAGUUCUCAGUUUUCAGCUAACAGGUGAUGAGUUCUCCUAUUUUGGGAACUCCGGUCAGUUGUAGUUUUUGUACUAUAUUCUUGUUAUUCGUAUGUAUUGAUUAGUGGUAGUUGGAGGAAUGUCCCAGCUAUCUAUAGUCAGCAUAGUAGAGGCUUCAUAGAUAUUCAGUCAGAGUCAUAAUAUGUAAUUCAAGUUUCUUUCUUCAGUUUUAUCAUGUUGUAAACUUUAUAAGUAUUACAUUUAUUCAGAAUUUCUCAUGAUCAUGUUUCGCUCAGUAAAUUUAGUUUUUAUACAAUUUAAAUCAGUUGCUCAAGCAGUAUGUCAUUACAUGGGUUAUCUUGGGAUUACUUGUGAUUCUAAGCACCGUGUUACGAUUAGGGGUAGCCUUAGGUCGUAACAAAGAGUAAUGUUUUUUCUUUGUGUUCUUGAGAGUGCUUAGGUAGAGUUAACUAAGUUUGAUACUAGUUAGAGUAAAUUAAUAGUAGGUGGGUUCUUGGUAAAGUUGUCACGGUGGGUUUGUAAUAGAGUUAUUGCAAACUUGUAACGACCCGAAAUCUCCUCCCGGGAUGUCACACGGUUUUAAGACUACAAGUAGCCCCAAGCUAACCCUUUGAGCCUGUUACUACGUAUAAUAACUCAUUUCAAGAUGAAAUAAACAAAACACUGGCACUGUCAGAUCAAACGAUGAGGAAUACAGAGAAAAUACUCGGUCCAAACGACCACAAUACUGGAAAGCUCAACAUACUAACAAUCUGAUAACUAGUCUGGCAAAGUCUUUACUAUUCCAUGAACUAGAGAGCCAUUGGGACAAGGUCCCCAACUGAGUCAAACUGAAUUGAAAGCAAUAACAUAUCUACUAAAAUACUGAAAUGUCUGAAGGUAGGUCUUUGAACCAUGAGGACUCACCACUGUGGAGAUGUAGACAAAGGUACUCGAAAAUCACUGACAAGGCUGGGAUUGAACACCUGAACCUACAUUAUAAGACAAUGUAGCACACAAACGUAUAUGUGGAUCAACACUUGGGAAUGUACUGAGUAUAUGGGGGUGUAUGCAUUUACAUAAAACAAUAUCAAUACUCUUUAAUCAAAUCAUGCAUGCAGUAGUAAUGACUCACAUAUCUUGAAUAAGUCUGAAAUGUAAAUCUUUUAAAUCAUGUAUAAUGAAGCAUGUAACAUAAAUCUCAUGAGUCAUUAUACUUUAGCUUUAAAAUCUGUACUCUCCUCUUAUUGUCAUUACUCGUAGACUGAAGGAAGCUUUAAACAAUACUUUCAAACUCAUGCAUAUAUCUCAUGGAGAGUAAAACUUCUUUAAUGCUCAAGAACUUAGAACUCUUUUAAACUCAAGACACUUGGAACUCGAGAUUAUAUAACUUUGGUUUAAAAAUUGAUUAUUAACUCUUACUAGUAGACAAAACUACUUUCUUUUUGGGAAAAUUUUACUUCAAGAAACUAUUCUGAAAAAUCUUACUAUUAGGGGAAAAAUACUCAAAAGCUGUUUAUUUACUUAUUACUAGCAGAGAGUUUCUCUUGAACGACAUAAACCAUGCGAGCUACAUGGAGUCCAAUGUCUUAUCCUCCUAAGAAAGAAACCUCACGUUGGUGAGAGGCAUCAUACUCUUGCUAGGGAGUAUAACCUCAACUCAGUAAUCACUUAUCUCGGCCUCGGGCCCAUAAAUCUUAAUCCUACGAUGGCACGUAGUUCUGGGGUAAGGAAUCGUAGUAACUUACCCAACUCGGUGCUAAAUACUACUCCCUUUAGUUAGCUACGCUCAUCUCAUGGAAAUCCACUUUAAAAAUAAUCUUAUGGUUCAUCAAGAACCCAACUAUAAAAUCUGAGAUCUCAUGUAGUAAAGUGGAUUUCAAAGCUACUAUGAUAUGACCAUUGAGGUCAAAGCUUUCUCAAUAAUCUCAGAAUACUCAAAUCAUGGGUGCUUAUAGCACAAAAGUUCAUAAAGAUUGAAAUCUCAAGUAGGGCUCAAUGACCCAUAAUUCAAUCUCAAGUUUAAGCUCAUCAAAAUGCAUACUAGACAUCAUAAAAAUUCGUAAAUCAUAUAGAAAUCUGGAAAUUCUCAGCAAUUUGUCUUAAAAUCUCAAUAUACUCAUGUACUUCAAUUUCUAGAGCACUAAAACUAGUAAAUUCUCAAGGAGUAACAACAUAGGGUAUAAACCCAGCUUCAAUUUCUUAAGAAAACAUGUAAAAUCAUGUUAUUUGACUUUUAAUACAUGGAAAACAUCAAGAAUUGCAACCAAUAACAAUGGGUGAAAAACCUUAAUUCAAUUUCAUGUAAAAUCUCAUAAAUUGCAGAAAAUUUGUAGUUUAAAAUAAGCCUUUGGGCAAGAGGGUGAAAGGAUUACCCUAUUUCAAAAUCCCACUUACCUUAGAUUAUGAAAUUGGAUGAACAAGCUUGCUUUAAGCUCUUCUUCUUACUCUUGAGAGAGGGUUCUUGCAACCCUUGACUUGGGGAACUUGAUUCUCAAUUCAAUUUGUGAAAGCUAUGGUGAAUUCUUGAAUUUCUUGGAGAAGGAAAUUUGGGUUUGUUCUUGAGGAAGAAACCCUAGCUCUUUGAUGUUUGGAUGAUGAAUGAAGCCAUCUGCUUUGUUUUGGAUAUAUCAGGGUGUUAAAAGAGUGGGAAAAGAUCGAAAAGCCCUUUUUAAAAUGACUUAAAAUUACUGAUCGGGAUGUGCGAUAGUGGGGUGCGACGGUCUGUCUGAGGGCCGAUGGUCUGUCGGUCCUGACCGUCGUACAUAAGCCAGAAUCCUACUUUCUGUCUCGACUGCGACGGUCUGUCGGACCUCUCCUUCGCACUUGGCCAGUGAGUCGAUCUUCUGCCUCAUUGCGACAGUCCGUCGGCUCUCUCCGUCGGACCUGGGCAAUUCCACUGCUUUCUGAAAAAAGGCUAUAUUUUUCUACUCCAAUAUCGGAUUUUGACGAAACGGGUAUCGUUGGAAAGAUAACUCAAUUUCCCACAUAAUAGGAAGUCAUUUUCAGGAAAAUUCAACAAGAUUAAAACACUAAUCACUUGGGAAGUCUCUUCUUAAUCUUUUAGGGCCGGAAUUAUACUUCACUUGACACGCUCUAAGGCUUAGACUACGAGGAAACUUUGCGGGGUCUUACAAAAUUGGUGGAGCGUAGAGUUAAGUUCCCAUUGAGUUUGUAAUCAAGAGUUUGAUUAUAGUGAAUUAUUGAGUGUUUGUGAGGAUGAGCCAUGUGUUUUCCUUCUUUGAGCAAAGAGGUUUUCACAUUAAAUCUGUGUUCUUUAGUUUUUAACAAAGUUUUUGUUUCCUACUAUUUUACUACUUGAUUGUCUUUGACUGACUCUAAGGGACCUGGUCCCUCAUAGUGUGGUGCAACCCCCCACGUUUCAACAAUUGAUAUCAGAGCGAGGGCACUCUAAAAGGUACAUACCGAGAGUGAUUUAUUAAGCAUGGUUGCUCCACCUAAUCUGGAAAAAGAACAAUUUACUACUAGACCACCCACUUUAAUAGGCACCAAGAUAUAUAACUUCAUUAUGGUUGAGGACAGUAAGUUGGUGGAUGUAAUACUUGAUGGUUCUCAUAUCCCUGUUAUAGAGGCAAAAGAAGGAUAUAUAACAAGGAUAGUUGUCAAAACUAGGAGAGAGUUCGAUGAUGAAGAUCGAAAGAAAGUUGAGAAGAAUUUUAAGGCCAAAAAACCACUAAUCUGUAGCAUAGGACCUGAUGAAUACAAUCAGAUUUUUGCUUGUGAAAAUGGAAAGAAAAUUUAGGAUUGCUUGAGGACGACUCAUGAAGGAACCACAGAUGUGAAGGAUUCUAAAGUUGACAUGCUGACUACUCAAUAUGAAACCUUCACCAUAAAAUAAGGAGAGACAAUUGAAGAAAUGCAUACAAGAUUCACUUUUUUCAUAAAUGAGCUACACUGCUUAGGAAAGGUGAUUCCUUUGUAUAAGCAAGUGAGAAAAAUUCUAAGUGUUCUUCCCAAGUCCCAGGAAAGCAAAGUGGAUGCUAUUAUUGAGGCAAGAAACCUGAAGACUCUUACUAUGGAUGAACUUAUUGGUAAUUGAAAGACUCACGAGCUCAAGAAGCAGUAAGGACAAGAGAAGAAGGAAGCAAAAAGGGAAAAAUCUUUGCCACUGAAGGCUUCAAAAUCUGAUUUAAAUGAAUAAGACACUAAUGUUGCCUAUUUGGCAAAGAGAAUUGUUAGAUGUGAAGAAAAGUGGUCAGUUUCCAAGAAAAGAAAGUAACAGCAAAAAGGGUGGCAAUGUUGAAGUUUGUUACAAAUGUGGAAGUCCUGAGCAUUUCAUUAAGGAUUGUCCAAUGCAAAAAAUGGAUUAUCAGGAAUAUAUCAAGACUGGAGGUGACAAAGUAAAGAACAGGGACUGAGUCCUUGCAAAAUCAAGAAGAAAGGUUACAGCUGAGUAUGCAGUGAGACAGGCCCUAGCAGUGUGGGGAGAUUUCCCCAGUGAAUCUGGUGAAGCUGAGAAGGCUAAAGAUGUGUCUAUGCUAGUUUUGGAGGAGUGUGAAUUUACCUAUGAUUCCUUGUUUGCUCUCAUGGCAAACACUGAAGAUGAAGAAGAAAAUAAAGUAACUCUCUUUGACAUUAAGGAAAAUUUAGAUAACUACUCUGCUAGAAAGAUAAAAAAGCUAGCAAAUAUGUUGAUUAAUUCUGUGCAUGAACUGACUACUGAGAAAAAUGCUAUAAAAGAGAAAGUAGAGAAUCAGGAGCUUGAAUUAAUUGUUUUAAUUCUCUAGAUAUCUGAACUAGGAGAACACUAUGCUAAAUUGAAAUCUGAUAAUCUGAGUUUAUUGAGUCAACUAAAAAAAAGUAAAGGAUUUUGAUGAUAAAGGAAAGAAAGAAACUUCAAAGCUUCAGAUUGAUCUUGAAGAUAAAUUAAGGGAUUCUCAAAAUCACCUUAUAACUUUCCUUCACAAGAAUGAAGAGUUAGAAAGGGACCCGGUCCGUCUAAGGAAAGAACUUAACAAAUCACUAAAAUGGACCACAUCCUCACAAAUCCUUUCUAAUCUAAUUGGUCAAAGUGUCAAUAAUGGUAAAGGGCUUGGAUAUCAGUACAAGACCCAAUCACUUGGGUCUCAUGGAAAAGUUGUUCAUGGUAUUAGAAAUAGGGCCUACAAACCUCUAUGUACUCAUUGUGGAAAAGAUGGACACUUGAAGAAACACUGACAGUAUUGGCUUAGAGCUAGAAUGAGUUGUGCUAAUUAUAUCUAGUAGGAGAAUUGUUAUCUUAAGGGUUUCAUGUCCUUGAAAAAUAUGAAAAAGAGUUCUCUACCUAGAUGGACCAAGAAAGAUUUGAUCACACCUUUGUCAUCCUAUUGGGAACUCAAACUCAAGUGGGUUCCCCAAUCUAACAAAUGACUAUGUUUGCAGGUAAGACGAGGGGAAUGCAGUCCGAACUGGUUCAUGAAUAGUAGAUGUUUAAAGCAUAUGACAGGGCAGACUGAUUUUUUUCUUUCUCUCAAGACACUUCAAGGUAGAGGUAUCUCUUUUUGAAAUGAUAAAAAGGGUUAUAUUUAUGGUGUGGGAAGGAUUGGAAAAUCAUCUGAUCAAGAAAUAAAAGAUGCGUACUAUGUGAAUGGCCUUAAAUACAGUCUUCUAAGUGUUUCUCAAAUUUGUGACAAAGGCAUUGAGGUCAAAUUCUCAGCUGAUGGAUGUACUGUGUCAAGCUUAAAAUAUGGGAAAGUUAUUCUCAAAGCUAAGAGAAUAAAAAUAUGUAUGUGGUUGAUUUGGAGUCUGUGGCUGAUAGGGAAUUAACUUGCUUAAGUGUUCAAAGUAAAGAUGUUGAUUUAUGGCACGGAAGGCUGGGACAUGUAAGUUCCUCUUUACUGAACAAGCUGAUUUCAAGGGACCUGGUCUGUGGCAUGCCAAAGCUGAAAUUUCCAGAAAAUAAGUAAGUUUUUCUCCUGCCUUUCCAAAGCCAAACUCCUUCUUCACUCAACUCGUUUAUAAAGAUUUAUCCCUGAAGCUUCAUAACCUUUCUGGUAGUAUUUGAUGGAUGAUGCAUGGAUUGUUGAAAAUCUCAUCUUGCUAUCAAAUAGUUCAAGAAAGAGCAUUUUUGGUCCCAAGAAACAAAAUGUCAGUAAGAUAACAAAAAACCCUGGAGAGAAGUCUAGAAGUUCUACUGAGAAGAAGCAGACUUAUGAAGGACCUAGUUCUAAGAAAAGGAAAAUGACUGAAAGAGAACCUAUCAGUGUUUCUAAAUAUGGAAAACUGGAGAAAUAAGGAAACUUUGAGACUAAAGAAGUAAGAAACAGAUUCUUGAGAAAUCAAAAGGUGUUAACUGAGAGGAUCUUUAACUCAAGUGUUUUAUCGAAACCAGGUAUGAUAGAAUUAGUUGAGCUGGUUAAACAUCAAAGAUGGCUCCAUCUUAUGGAAGGAUCCAUUCCCACAGUCUUUGAUGAGGUAGUUAAGGAGUUCUACUCCACAUUGGAUUUUUUUGAUGACUAUUGUAGUUCAAGGAAAGAAGUUGAAUCUUGAUGCUUGUUACUUGAGAAAAUUUUGGAUGUUUCUAUCAGUGGUGUGAGGACUGUCUCAAAAUAACAACCCUCAAUAGAGUUCAUGGCAAAUGUAUGAUAGGUUAAAGAAAAAUCUGUAGCUGCACUAAAUAAGAAAUCACUCAAAAGUGAGGUUUAAUUAGUCUUUGAUUUUGUUAUCAAAGUGAUUCUGCCUAGAUCACAAAAGAGGAACAUUACUUCAACUACUGAUUUGUAUGUGAUGGAGUGUCUUAUCAGUUUUGAGUUUAUUUGUUUACCUGCUUUAAUGAUGGAGCACAUGCAUAAAGUCGUUCAUGUGAAAAAUGGAAAACAUGGCAAUGCCUUAUGGAUAUUGGUUGAACAGAGUGUUUGAUUAUUUUGAUAUUGUCUGUGAAAAUGAAACUCCUGAAACUGUGAUACAAUUAUUUGCUAUGAAGAAUUUGAUCAAAGUUGAAUGUGUGGAAAAUAAAUCAGGCAACAUCUCUCAAGAGGAGCUCGGCAAAGAAAUAGAGGAAUUGAAACUUAACUUAGUUGCUAAGAAUGAAGAGAUUAGCAAAUUGCAAAUGAUAAUUCAGCAUCUUUCUGAUAAAGAUCCAAGUGACUCUGAAGAGGUUAAAACUGAGAAUGCUGAACUAAAAAAGAGAGUUUCAUCUCUAACGCAUGAGGUUCUUAUCUUGAAUGUAGAGAUAAGGUAUCUAACCAAGGAAUUGCUACACUGUCAUGCUACAGAAAAAAAUAAUAUGGCUCUACUUCUCCAAACCCUCUUCCCAAGUCCUUCACCUGUUUAAAUUUUCUUAAUUCCUGUGGUUUUUUCAUUUAAAUUAUGCACUUCAAUGAUACUUUUACAUAUGAAUUAAUCUUAGUUUGUGUGUUUCAUCUAUCUCUUCCUUAAUUUUAAAGUUGUUCUUCAUGUUAGUGUUUUUCCAAUGACCAUAAGUUAACUAAAUUAUGCUUAUUUUACUUUUGGUUUACUAUUAUCAUUUUUUAAUAAUGCCAAAAAGGGGAAUACUGAAUUCAUUUGGUAGGGACUAGGUGAUGUGUGUUGCAUGAUGAUGUGUUAGGGACUAGGUACCAAGCAGGUACAUAUGUGUUAAAUGUUGGUGAAGUAUGAUGAGUAUUGAUAGGGGAAAGAUUAUUUGAAGGAUGGCAUAGUGACAGGGGGGAGAAUACUGGCAAUGCAUGAUGGCAAAUUGAUAGGGCGAAUCAUGGUGCAUAAUGAUAGGGGGAAUAUUCAUCAUCAGUAGUGAUAAUCACUCUAAGUAAUGAGAUGAAUGAACAUUGAUGCUCAAAAAUCUGUGGUUAGUUUGUCAUCAUCAAAAAUGGGGGAAAUUGUUAUAUCUUAUUUUAAUGAUGAUCCGCUAAUAUAAAAAAAUCAGGUCCCUGGGUCUUCAUGAGUUCAGUACAGUUGUCACUAUCCUGUGCAGCUUUGUCUAUUAGUGUAACAAACUACACAGGUGAGAUUGUACCUUUCAGGAUACCUGGCCCAAUCACAUUUGUACCUGUAAUACCCUAAAGUUUUCUAACUAAUUUCAUCCCAAAAAUGUCAAGUAUUAGUUUCUAAAUUGAAUGAUGUUUAUUCCAUGGGGAAUUUUCUUGAUAUUCACUUUUAGUUAUGUGGGAAAUUCAAUAAGCUUUCCAUCGAUAUAAGAUUCACCCAAAUUCGAUAACCGGGUAAGAAAUUAUGACUAUUUCAAGUUUCAGUCGUAAAACACCAUCAUCUCAGUCAGUGACGUGUCGCGCCAUAAGCCAAAAUGACAUUUGUCAAUUUCCAGUAAGACUCCGCAAUUUUACCGCAUCGCGAAGGACUCCCAAAUCCCAAUUGUCAAAUUCUAGUGAAGCCCCGUGAUAGUGCCGCGUCGCGCAAGGGGUCCAGGUCGGGAAAUUUUCACAAAAAUUAAAAGGGUUCCAAAAGGGUCUUGGUACCCAAGUUCAUCUCAGCACAACCUUUUAUACUCAGACAGAUGGUCAAGCAGUAAGGACCAUUCAGACCCUAGAAGAUAUACUAAAGGCGUGUGCAUUUGAUUUCAAGGGUAGUUGGGAUGACCACUUGCCUUUGAUUGAGUUUGCAUACAAUAAUAGCUAUCAUUCCAGUAUUAAGAUGGCUCUAUUCGAAGCUCUCUAUGGUAGGAGGUGCAAAUCUCCAGUCGGUUGGUUCGAAGUUAGUGAGGCUUUAGUUAUAGGGCCUGACUUAGUAUUCGAUGCCUUAGAAAAAGUCCAGUUGAUCAGAGAAAGACUCUGGGCUGCUCAGAGCCGACAGAAGUGUUAUGUAGAUGUGCAUAAAAAGGACCUCGAGUUCGAGGUUAGUGACUAUGUCUAUCUAAAGAUCUUUCCCAUGAAGGGAGUGAAGAGAUUCGGCAAAAAGGGAAAGCUCAGUCCCCAAUAUGUCGAUCCCUUCAAGAUUCUCAGUUGCUUCGGCAAGGUAGCUUAUGAGCUCGAGUUGCCUUCAGAUCUAGCCUCAGUUCAUCCAGUCUUCCAUGUCUCUUUGCUCAAGAAGUGUAUAGGUGACCCAGCAGUUGUAGUCCCUAUUCAGAGCAUAGAUAUUCAGAACAACCUUUCUUAUGAAGAGAUUCCGAUCGAAAUCCUAGAAUAUCAGACUCGUAGACUAAGGAACAAAGAAGUCCCUCUAGUCAAAGUUCUUUGGCGGAAUCAAUCCGUUGAGGGAGCUACUUGGGAAGUAGAAGCAGACAUGCGUACCAAGUAUCCUCACCUUUUCUCCGCUAACUCAGAUCAAGCUCAAGGUAAUAGUUCUCCUUAAGUUUUUCAGUUUUCAUGUCUAGAUUUCAAUUAUAACUUGGUAUCAAUUUCAUGUUCAGAAUUCUAUUUUAAACUUGGUACUAAGUACCAUUGCAUAUUCAAUCAUAUAUUAAUGCAUCAGACAUGCAUUCUCCUAGUGAGAAAUUCAAUUAUCAGAAAUCUCAGUUAUGUGUUCAUGAGUCAGUUAAGUCAUGAAAUCAUGCAUCAGAUAUGCAUGCUCAGUAUAAAUCUCAGAAAUGUCAGUUAUGUUUCAGUUGUUCAUGUUCAAUAUAUACUUAAGCUCAACGUUUCUCCCAUCUCAGUCAGUCACAUUCGAGGACAAAUAUUCCUAAGAGGGAGAUAUUGUAAUACCCCGAAGUUUCCUAACUAAUUUCGUCCCAAGAAUGUCAAGUAUUAGCUUCUAAAUUGAAUGAUGUUUAUUCCAUGGGAAAUUUUUCAAGAUUUUCACUUUUAGUUAUGUGAGAAAUUCAAUAAGCUUUUCAUCGAUAUAAGAUUCGCCCAAAUCCGAUAAUCGGGUAAGAAGUUAUGAUUAUUUCAAGUUUCAGUUGUAAAACACCACCAUCUCAGUCAGUGGCGCGUCGCGCCAUAAGCCAAAAUGACAUUUGUCAAUUUCCAGUAAGACUCCGCGAUUUCACCGCGUCGCGGAGGGCUCCCAAAUUCCAAUUGUCAAAUUUCAGUGAAGCUCCGCGAUAGCGGCGCAUUGCGCCAAGGGUCCAGGUCGGGAAAUUUUCACAAAAAUUAAAAGACGCGUCCAGGGUUAAAUGGGUCUUUUCCCAUGAUUUUAGUUCAGCCUUAAAAAAGAAAUUUAACCUUACAUGACUUAAGGACAUCAUUAUUCACUCUAUUUUCCCUAAUUUCUUCAUACUCUCUCAAAGCCAAGAAACCCUAAUCUUAAAAAUUCAAGGGCAAGGAUCAAGAAUCUCUCCAAGGAUCUUUACGGAGUUACAUUCUAAGGUAUGCAUAGUAUUCAUUCAUGGAUUCCUUUCAUCCAUGAAGCCCCAGAACCAAGUUUUAAAUCAUGUAUUAUGAAUACUAUGUUGUGGGUUUAUUAUGUUUAUGUGAUUGUUGUCGUAUGAUUCCCAAGUUGGAAAUCUUUAUGUGUUUUAUGAAAUUACGUUAGUAUAUGAGUUUAAAUCCCUGAAUUGAGUGGUUUAUGAUGUGUUAAUUGAUGAUUAUACCUAUGCCCUAAGUGGUGCAUGUAAGGUGUUUGAUAAAAUGCCUAGAAGACUAGAAAUCAUGUAUUAUAGAUCAAUUGUGACCUAAGUGAUGGAUUCAUGUUUUACCUUUAUGUUCAAAUGACUUCCAUGCUAUUAACAUGCCUUGUAAAUGUUGUUGGAUUGCUCAUGAAUUAGCCUUAUGAAAUUAUGUCAUGUUCACAUGCAAUCCUAUUCAUGUACAAGCUUAUGAUAACCAUGUACUUCAUGAAAUCCCCAACUUAUUGUAUUAUGGAUUGUUGAUGAUUGAUCAUGUAUUCAAGAAUGCCAUGCCUUGUCAGUUUCCUUCUAUCAAGUCCUAGGGGUACUUGUACCUGACAAGUUAGCUGUGUGCCUAGAGCCAGUGUCAUGUUUUCAUGAUAUCCUCAGUUAGCUGUGUGCCUAGAACCAGUGUCAUGUUUUCAUGAUAUCCUCAGUCAAGCUAUGAUCCAUAGAACUCAGUCAGUCAUGUGACUCAGGAAAGCUCAGUAAUCUAGUAAUCUCAGUACUAUUCCGUCAGUCAACGAAACUCAGUUAAUUCAGUCCAGUUUAGUUCAGUAAUCCAUGUUCAGUGUCUAUUUAGAUGGGAGUAGGAAUUAGCACCGAGUAAAUCCAAUGAUGGGAACACACACUGUCAAAUAAGGGUAUGAUUCUUAGAAGUCAUCUUUGCGUUUCAGAACUAUGUACCAGCAUAGGUUGAGACAUCAACACUGUCAGAUGAGGGUUGAUGAGGUGGAUAAACACUGUCAGAUGAGGGUCCCACCGUUCUCUUUUGGGGACACAGUCAGAUAAGGGUCACCCACAGCUUAUCUUGGUGCGGUAUUAACACCCUUCCAAUUGGGGUGAUAGAUUGGAUCCCAACUCAGCGAUAAUGGCGUAUUAGGGUCAUGUCAGUUAGAUGAAAACUUCCCACAGUUUUAGUUACAGAAUCAGGACUGUCAGAUACAAUUAUUCAGUCUCAGUAAUAGAACUCAGAUAGUUCUACAGAAUUCAGGACUUUCAUAUACAUUUAACCCAGAACAUUGCGAAACUCAGCUAGUUCCAUCAGAACUUACACUGUCAGAUACAGUCGCUCAGUAUCAGUUAUGUCAGUUAAUAGUAGUUUAUGUUAUCACGAUCUCAGUUACAGUCUAUGUAUUCAUGCAUGCAUUCUCACUUUCAUGUUAUACAGUUAGUUAGUUCAGUUCAUACAUAUGUACCCUUCGCAUUCAGCCUACCUCACAUGCAUACCAGUACAUUCAAUCGAACUGACGCAUUUGCGUUAUGGUGUUUUGUACCAUAGGUUCAGAAGCACGAGCUCCAAAGCAUCAGUAGCAGCCAGAUUUAGCAGUGAGUCCUCAUCAUUUGAGGACAUGAUCAUUAUUUUAUCAUUUUCAUACUUAGUUUAUUUCAGUAGAUGAAGUUAGUUGGGGACAUGUCCCAUCAACUCCUUAUUCAAACAGAUAAAGGCUUUUCAGACUAUCAUGUUUAGGCAGUUUAUUUCAGUUGUUUUGGGUGUUUCAUACCCCAUCCAGAUGUUAUGUUACAUUUUUGAACCUUACGGCCUUACAACCUUUAUUUUCGCAUUAUACAGUAUAUUUUUGCAGUGUUUAGGUACAGAUAUCAGUCAUAGAUUUUCUUGUGCUCCCUCAGGGUUAUGAGCACCGUGUUAUAUUUUGGGUACCAGAUUCGGGGCAUUACAGUACCCUACUCAUUGUCCAGCUAAAAAUAGAAAAGAAUGCUCCUCAAAUUAUCAGUUUUUGCAACCUGAUUAUUCAAAGAGAGAAAUCAGUGAAAAGUGAAAUAUUGCUCAAGUCCCAAUCUUUGUGUACUGAGAAAGUGUGUGGUCUUGAGUCAAGUUGGGGUUUGUAAUUGAAUUACUCGUGUUAUAAGAGUAAUGCUUUUUUUGUGUUCUUGAGUGUGCCUAGGUAGAGUUACCUGAGUUUGAUAUUGGUUAGAGUUAAUCAAUAUUAGGUGAGUUUUUGGCAGAGUUGUCAAGGUUGGUUUGUAAUAGAGUUAUUGCAAACUGGUGGAGCUUAGAGUUAUGUUCUCAUUGAGUCUGCAAUCAAGAGUUUGAUUAUAGUGGAUUGUUGAGUGCUUGUGAG